rnacentral:lncRNA from 1 species
AAACCUAUCCCAAGUGGAGACUCUAAAUAAAUAAAUAAUCACAUUUCGAAUAGUGUCACUUUAAUUGGACAAACUCCAUUAUACGUUCUAUCCUUCGGGGUAGCCGUGUAAAAAAAGGAUGUGUGACAGCUCUGGCUACUUUGCUGAGGAGUAGAACGCAGAAUCUCUGGUUCAGGGUUCAAUAAUUCGAGCUUGCAAUAACUGUUAUAUUUGGAUUCUUCUGAUUUGGUUACAUAUUUUAUGCUAAAUGCCACAUGUUUUACUGCUUUGAUAUUAUCUGAACUGUACAUAUGAACUGCUAUGAAACCCUUCAGUUCUCACCUCCGGGGAUGUGCAUACUGGUUGAGACUCCCUAUUCUGUUAGUGUCUUACCCUAAAAUAAGAAAGAGGCUCGAACAAGUUACAAAGCCAGAAGAUCUUGUGGGUCCCCGGUACGUAGCCCCCUUCUCGACUCGAGUUGUUUGCUCGGUACACGGUAUAAAACAAAUACCCAGGUUCUAAACCUAGUAUAACAAAACCUCACGUAGGAUCACUAGUAGGACUGCUUGUUUGCAUCACAUGCAUUUGACUUAGGGGAUUCAACAAAUGGGUUGGAUCCGUCUAGGACAGGUGCACCAAAAUUAAAGACCAUCCUGAUGCAUUUUACGUGAUAAUUGCGCAUUUAUUUGCUUUGGAUCCGACAUGCUGACCGGCUUGUAAAUAAUGGAAAAAUUUUGAAAAGAAGAAUGAUAAAAAAAAGUGAGAGGUAGGCCCUUAGAAAAUUCUAAAACUCUGUCGGAUUUUUGAGGAAAUGAAAGAAAAAGAAAGGUUUUCAAAAAUAGUUGGUCUGCCUAAUCUCCCGAUCUAAGCGGGUCUGAUUCUCACCGGAUGUGAGAUACGUAGGCAAACCUCAUCGAUUCCGA